UACGUAGGCAGCAAGCGUUGUUCGGAGUUACUGGGCGUAAAGGGCGCGUAGGCGGCUUUUUAGGUUUGGUGUGAAAUCUCCCGGCUCAACUGGGAGGGUGCGCCGAAUACUGAGAGGCUAGAGUGUGGGAGAGGAAAGUGGAAUUCCUGGUGUAGCGGUGAAAUGCGUAGAUAUCAGGAGGAACACCGGUGGUGUAAACGGCUUUCUGGACCAUAACUGACGCUGAGGCACGAAAGCGUGGGUAGCAAACAGG
rnacentral:rRNA from 1 species